rnacentral:rRNA from 1 species
CCUACGGGAGGCUGCAGUGGGGAAUAUUGGACAAUGGGCGAAAGCCUGAUCCAGCCAUGCCGCGUGUGUGAAGAAGGCCUUCGGGUUGUAAAGCACUUUCGGUGGGGAAGAAAGCCUUGGGGCUAAUACCCUCGAGGAAGGACAUCACCCACAGAAGAAGCACCGGCUAACUCCGUGCCAGCAGCCGCGGUAAUACGGAGGGUGCGAGCGUUAAUCGGAAUUACUGGGCGUAAAGCGCGCGUAGGCGGUCUGAUAAGCCGGUUGUGAAAGCCCCGGGCUCAACCUGGGAACGGCAUCCGGAACUGUCAGGCUAGAGUGCAGGAGAGGAAGGUAGAAUUCCCGGUGUAGCGGUGAAAUGCGUAGAGAUCGGGAGGAAUACCAGUGGCGAAGGCGGCCUUCUGGACUGACACUGACGCUGAGGUGCGAAAGCGUGGGUAGCAAACAGGAUUAGAUACCCGUGUAGUC